GACGAACGCUGGCGGCGUGCCUAAUACAUGCCAGUAGAACGCUGAAGGAGGAGCUUGCUUCUCUGGAUGAGUUGCGAACGGGUGAGUAACGCGUAGGUAACCUGCCUGGUAGCGGGGGAUAACUAUUGGAAACGAUAGCUAAUACCGCAUAAUAGUAGAUGUUGCAUGACAUUUGCUUAAAAGGUGCAAUUGCAUCACUACCAGAUGGACCUGCGUUGUAUUAGCUAGUUGGUGGGGUAACGGCUCACCAAGGCGACGAUACAUAGCCGACCUGAGAGGGGGAUCGGCCACACUGGGAAUGAGACACGGCCCAGACUCCUACGGGAGGCAGCAGUAGGGAAUCUUCGGCAAUGGACGGAAGUCUGACCGGGCAACGCCGCGUGAGUGAAGAAGGGUUUCGGAUCGUAAAGCUCUGUUGUAAGAGAAGAACGAGUGUGAGAGUGGAAAGUUCACACUGUGACGGUAUCUUACCAGAAAGGGACGGCUAACUACGUG
rnacentral:rRNA from 1 species